rnacentral:rRNA from 1 species
UGGGGAAUAUUGCACAAUGGGGGAAACCCUGAUGCAGCGACGCCGCGUGAACGAAGAAGGUAUUCGUAUCGUAAAGUUCUGUCCUAUGGGAAGAUAAUGACAGUACCAUAGAAGGAAGCUCCGGCUAAAUACGUUCCAGCAGCCGCGGUAAUACGUAUGGAGCGAGCGUUGUCCGGAAUUAUUGGGCGUAAAGGGUACGCAGGCGGUUUAAUAAGUCGAAUGUUAAAGAUCGGGGCUCAACCCCGUAAAGCAUUGGAAACUGAUAAACUUGAGUAGUGGAGAGGAAAGUGGAAUUCCUAGUGUAGUGGUGAAAUACGUAGAUAUUAGGAGGAAUACCAGUAGCGAAGGCGACUUUCUGGACACAAACUGACGCUGAGGUACGAAAGCGUGGGGAGCAAACAGG